UGUGCCCUUUUAGGCUCAUCUUCGUGUCGGGCGUUUGAAGGAGGCAACUGUCGACAUUUCGGGAAGAUCACGAGAACCAGAAAACAAAAGGCGCCUGUCUCGCUUAGAACACGACGUUGGCGGGAACCAAAUGACCAUCUUAGGAACAGCUGAGCGCACCGACAAGUUCUGUAGAGUUGCCUUCCCUGUGGCCUUCUUCGUCUCCAACGUCAUCUUCUGGUCCUGGUUGUCCUUCAAUCAAGAGAAGUAGCUUCAUCUUCAAGCAGUGAGCACGGAAAGGAAAUCUGGAAAAGCCUGGAGCAGCUCCAAUAAUCACUUUUGCGUGAAUACACUAA
rnacentral:lncRNA from 1 species